GCCCAGGAGCUAUACCUAAUACAUGGCCACCCGAAUUGUCCACCUCUUCAUCGACUUAUAUUUCCCCCCCCCCUUUUUCCAAAAAUAUUUUUUUUUUCAAAAUAAUUAUUUCCUACAUCACCAUCGGCUAUUUAGACGGAAUAUUUUCUAUCCACUCCUUUUUUAAAAAAAUAUUUUUAUUUUAUGUACUUGCGUACUUUAUGAAAUUGUGCCGUAAUUUUUGUAAUAAAUCGUGAAGCACAUAAUGGUAAUUUGACGAAAGAGUUGGAAAUCGUGUCGUCGCAUAAAAUUCUAAUAAUAUUAUCAUAGGCGCAACUAGACUACCAACUUUAGGUCCUAAAAUUAUUGACACAUCAAAAACCUAUGGGGGCUAUAACUCAAC